rnacentral:rRNA from 1 species
GAAUCGCUAAUGUGCCCCGGACUCUGGGAUAGCUGACCGAAAGGGCAGGUAAUACCAGAUGACAUAACCUUUCCGCAUGGUGAGGUUCUCAAAGGUCCGCCGGUCUGGGAGCAGGCGAUUUUGUAUCAGCUAGUUGGUGGGGUAACGGCCCACCAAGGCGACGACGCAUAGCCGGACUGAGAGGUUGGCCGGCCACAUUGGGACUGAGACACUGCCCAG